GUAGUCCACGCCGUAAACGAUGAAUACUAGGUGUGGGGGUUGUCAUGACCUCCGUGCCGCCGCUAACGCAUUAAGUAUUCCGCCUGGGGAGUACGGUCGCAAGAUUAAAACUCAAAGGAAUUGACGGGGGGCCCGCACAAGCAGCGGAGCAUGUGGUUUAAUUCGAAGCAACGCGAAGAACCUUACCUAGACUUGACAUCUCCUGAAUUACUCUGUAAUGGAGGAAGUCGCUUCGGCGACAGGAAGACAGGUGGUGCAUGGUUGUCGUCAGCUCGUGUCGUGAGAUGUUGGGUUAAGUCCGCAACGAGCGCAACCCUUAUUGUUAGUUGCUACCAUUUAGUUGAGCACUCUAGCGAGACUGCCCGGGUUAACCGGGAGGAAGGUGGGGAUGACGUCAAAUCAUCAUGCCCCUUAUGUCUAGGGCUACACACGUGCUACAAUGGUCGGUACAGAGAGAUGCUAAACCGCGAGGUGGAGCCAAACUUCAAAACCGAUCUCAGUUCGGAUUGUAGGCUGAAACUCGCCUCAUGAAGCUGGAGUUGCUAGUAAUCGCGAAUCAGAAUGUCGCGGUGAAUACGUUCCCGGGCCUUGUACACACCGCCCGGUCACACCAUGAGAGUUGGCAAUACCCAAAGUUCGUGAGCUAACCGCAAGGAGGCAGCGACCUAAGGUAGGGGUCAGCAUUGGGGUGAAGUCGUAACAAGGUAGCCGUAGGAGAACC
rnacentral:rRNA from 1 species